AUGGCCUAUAUAUUUUGAUUGGCUACUGUUGACCUGGGUGGGCUGUGGCCUGUGAGUGGGUGUAUAGACAGUCCCACCUCCCAUCAGUGAGGUUCGCCAUUACCAGAGGAGGACACUGAAGUACAAGGACACCUUCAGUCUCGAUACGCUGCUGAACAAGUCAUCAUGUUAUGCUUACGUCUAGGAGUAUUGAUUAUACUGGUUGUCCUGGUCUAUCCUUGGCAACUGUAUGGCAGCUUCCAAGACACUGGCAAAGCAGGCAGCUUGAAGAACCUCAGUACCUGGCGACCAACCCCAAUGCUGCAGUCUGAGUUUAAGGAUGUAGUACAUUCAGAAAUAAAGUCCGUGGUCUACUUUGUCAAGCCUGAGCACUCAGUCACUAGCAGCGUCAACGUUACCGCUUGGCCAUUCAAUAUGGUUGCUCCUUCUUUUUAACAUGAAAAAAUAAUUUACACGUUAAAUUAUCAGAGUACAUUGUGCCCUAACAAUUUCAGCGGAAGGGUAGCUAAGAAUAUUUUUUCUAAAUUAUUAUUUUUUCAAAACUGUAUUUCCUUUUCUAAUAGUGCCUAUGUAAUUUUUAGAUAAGGCCGAACUGUUUGCCAAAUUGAAAUUUCUUGUUCGUAUCUGUACUGUACUUUAUAUUUGGUAAUUUCAAGCAAAAGUCACGACUAAGAUGAAAGACAACAAUAUGGCAACAAAAAUAUAAUUGUCUACCGGAA